GACGUCGAUAUACGACGUCAUAAACACGGUCAACUUUGGUGUUUAUGACGUCGAUAUACGACGUCAUAAACACGAUCAACUUUGGUGUUUAUGACGUCGAUAUUCGACGUCAUAAACACGGUCAACUUUGGUGUUUAUGACGUCGAUAUUCGACGUCAUAAACACGAUCAACUUUGGUGUUUAUGACGUCGAUAUUCGACGUCAUAAACACGAUCAACUUUGGUGUUUAUGACGUCGAUAUUCGAAGUC
rnacentral:miRNA from 1 species